AUGGACGGCCUCCUCCUCGGUACCUGCUCCCCACCUCUACCUAUUGUUUCUUGCGCCCUAUUGUUUUCAAUGUCUUGCCUGAUUCUAUGGCUUGGUGUGGGCGGGCGCAGACACAGAGGGGUUCUACACGGAGGUGCAGGAGAAGAUCUCGCGAGGUACGGCAAGGUGUUCGACUGGUCCCUCAAGGCCAAUAUGAUGGGUGAAAAGGCCACCGAGUCGACGCACAUCUUCAUCAACGAGUGCAGCCUCGCUAGCCUACUCACCCCGGAGCAGUUCCUCGAGGAGCGUGAGGGCAUGAUGCAGGAGCUCUUCCCCUCCCGCGUCGUCCUGCCUGGUUUGUUUCUCCCCUUCUAA
rnacentral:rRNA from 1 species